GGAAUAUUGCACAAUGGGCGAAAGCCUGAUGCAGCAACGCCGCGUGAGCGAUGAAGUAUUUCGGUAUGUAAAGCUCUAUCAGCAGGGAAGAUAAUGACGGUACCUGACUAAGAAGCUCCGGCUAAAUACGUGCCAGCAGCCGCGGUAAUACGUAUGGAGCAAGCGUUAUCCGGAUUUACUGGGUGUAAAGGGAGUGUAGGCGGUUUUAUAAGUCUGAUGUGAAAGCCCGCGGCUCAACCGCGGUAUUGCAUUGGAAACUGUAGAACUAGAGUGUCGGAGAGGUAAGUGGAAUUCCUAGUGUAGCGGUGAAAUGCGUAGAUAUUAGGAGGAACACCAGUGGCGAAGGCGGCUUACUGGACGAUUACUGACGCUGAGGCUCGAAAGCGUGGGGAGCAAACA
rnacentral:rRNA from 1 species